CAGAUUGAACGCUGGCGGCAUGCCUUACACAUGCAAGUCGAACGGCAGCAUGAUCUAGCUUGCUAGAUUGAUGGCGAGUGGCGAACGGGUGAGUAAUACAUCGGAACGUGCCCUGUAGUGGGGGAUAACUAGUCGAAAGAUUAGCUAAUACCGCAUACGACCUGAGGGUGAAAGUGGGGGACCGCAAGGCCUCAUGCUAUAGGAGCGGCCGAUGUCUGAUUAGCUAGUUGGUGGGGUAAAGGCCUACCAAGGCGACGAUCAGUAGCUGGUCUGAGAGGACGAUCAGCCACACUGGGACUGAGACACGGCCCAGACUCCUACGGGAGGCAGCAGUGGGGAAUUUUGGACAAUGGGCGAAAGCCUGAUCCAGCAAUGCCGCGUGUGUGAAGAAGGCCUUCGGGUUGUAAAGCACUUUUGUCCGGAAAGAAAUGGCUCUGGUUAAUACCUGGGGUCGAUGACGGUACCGGAAGAAUAAGGACCGGCUAACUACGUGCCAGCAGCCGCGGUAAUACGUAGGGUCCAAGCGUUAAUCGGAAUUACUGGGCGUAAAGCGUGCGCAGGCGGUUGUGCAAGACCGAUGUGAAAUCCCCGGGCUUAACCUGGGAAUUGCAUUGGUGACUGCACGGCUAGAGUGUGUCAGAGGGGGGUAGAAUUCCACGUGUAGCAGUGAAAUGCGUAGAGAUGUGGAGGAAUACCGAUGGCGAAGGCAG
rnacentral:rRNA from 1 species